GUCGUCGUUUAUGUCGACGAUUACCGGCGAAGCAACUGUAUCUAAUGGUAAGCAAGUUUCUUCUUCUAUGUUGUUGCUUCCGCCACAGGCUGUGAAUUUUCCGACCACCGGAAAACGUUGCCGCGAGCAUGAACAAUCUGAUGCUAUCUCCGGCAGCAAAUCCACCGGCUCCGGCAAGUGUCACUGCAAAAAGAGGAAAGCUAAGGAUCGGAAAGUGAUUAGGAUUCCGGCGAUAAGUACGAGGGUGGCUGAUAUACCGGGAGACGAGUUUUCAUGGAGGAAAUACGGGCAAAA
rnacentral:misc_RNA from 1 species